rfam:Macrostomum lignano uti_cns_0006959, whole genome shotgun sequence.
GGGGUUGUAGCUUACAGGCUAGAGCGUCAGACUCACGACUGAAAGGUCGGGGGUUCGAUUCCCGAUCCCA